ACGUGUCUUCUUGUGAUAAAGCUCCCUCUUUUCUUCUUCUCUCUCUCCUUCCUUUUCGCAAUUCUUCGUUCUUCUCUAUUUUGAGAUUUUCCCUGUUUUGAGUUUUUUUUUUGUUGGUUUGUGUUUCUGAUUCAUGGUUUGAUUGAUUCUCUCGAAGAAUUUUGUGGGAUGAGCAGUAUCAGGAGCAGUGUGCGCAUCGACUCUGGCCAGGAAUGGAGUCUCCGUCACUAUCUUCGGCUCCGCUCGUGGUCCCAGUGGCUGCAUGUCUCAAAGAAGGGAGGUUGGGGAAGAUGGGAAGGAGUUGACGUUCGACCAUGGAGCUCCGUUUUUCUCUGUGACCAACCCUAAUGCUAUCUCCCUUGUUCACGAGUGGGAGUCUAUAGGUUUUGUUUCUCAAUGGAAACAAGUUUUUCGGCUCUUUCGAUUCUGCCUCCAAAAAUAAUUAAUUAAUUUCCUAAGGACUUUAUAAAGUUCUAUCAAUAAUCAAAUUUUAUGAGAAUGUCCUUAAUU